rnacentral:sRNA from 1 species
CCGUCCUCUGACAGGCAACUAUACUAUAAGCAACUCUUGAAAAUUCAAGGUGGGAAAUAGGUAGGUGACUAACGAGAUAAGUAGGUGACUAACGAAAUAGGCAGGUGACUAACGAAAUAGGCAGGUGACUAACGAAAUAAGUAGGUGACUAACGAAAUAGGUAGGUGACUAACGAAAUAAGUAGGUGACUAACGAAAUAGGCAGGUGACUAACGAAAUAAGUAGGUGACUAACGAAAUAGGCAGGUAACUAACGAAAUAAGUAGGUGACUAACGAAAUAGGCAGAUGACUAACGAGAUAAGUAGGUGACUAACGAAAUAGGCAGGGGACUAACGAAA